GACGAACGCUGGCGGCGUGCUUAACACAUGCAAGUCGAGCGGUAAGGCCCUUUCGGGGGUACACGAGCGGCGAACGGGUGAGUAACACGUGGGUGACCUGCCCUUAGCUCUGGGAUAAGCCUGGGAAACUGGGUCUAAUACCGGAUAUGACCUCAUGACGCAUGUUGUGGGGUGGAAAGCCUUGUGCGGCUAGGGAUGGGCCCGCGGCCUAUCAGCUUGUUGGUGGGGUGAUGGCCUACCAAGGCGACGACGGGUAGCCGGCCUGAGAGGGCGACCGGCCACACUGGGACUGAGACACGGCCCAGACUCCGUACGGGAGGCAGCAGGUGGGGAAUCUUGCGCAAGUGGGCGAAAGCCUGACGCAGCGACGCCGCGUGAGGGAUGACGCU
rnacentral:rRNA from 1 species